rnacentral:lncRNA from 10 species
CCACCACGAUGACGGCGAUGAGGCCGGCGGUGAGGCGCUUCAUGGAGAACUUCGGGGGAAUCUCGUCCAGGGCUCCUCAGGCUCAAGCACAACCUGGAAAAACGAAGGUGUUAAUGUUCCAUGAGGCAACUGAUGACCAAUGGGGAGCAGGAGCUGGUGAAUGAAUGUUCCCUUCAUCCAUCCUGCAGCUUCUACAUUGUUCUUCAUCUCUGGGAAAUCAGUGACCCAUGGACUGGACAAUAACUUUGAGCCAUGCAGUCAAAAUAAAAUGGAAUAUUUAAGUGAAAGAUCAGGUUCUGGAAAAUAAAACUGCUCGUAGCUGCAUAUUAUCUACCGAACUUAGGUGGAUUCUCAGAAAGAAAAAGGUGAUGUUCACUGGCAUGAACAGUGAAUGGUGGAGUGGAACGUGAACAGGCUGGAGCUCUGGCUGUGCCAUUUAUUAGCCAUGUGCCUUUAGAAGGUCCUCAUCUUCUCCAGCCUCAGUUUCACCAUCUGUAAUGGUAGGUAAGAACCUCUACUUCAGAAGGCUGUUGGAAAGACGAAAUGGUAUGAGACAAAAUGAAAUAAUGACAUCCUAAGUGGAAAGGGCUCGCCUGGGGUCUGGUUAACAAGUAUCACUGCCUCAGGUAACAGUCUUUCUCAGCAGUGCUGCAUACAAACCUCCUCUGGCUUUGACCUUAACAGCCAUUGUAGGUCAGUGUUCAUAGCAGCCCCCACUCAAGUGAGGGUCCAGCUCUGCAAUGAGUUGUGCCUAAGAAGGUCACAGGGGACCAGCCCCUGCUGUGUAGCGCAGGGAGGAGGGCUCUGUCAUUUCUGGCCAUCAUGGCCCUUUGCAGUCAGCCUCAGCCUGAGAUAAAUAUCACACUCUUGCAUCUCACUUUAUAUCUGAGAUCAUCUGGCCCUGCCCACAUCCUCCUCUGCUAAAUGAGUAGAACAGACGGACUCUAAAGCUGCAGAAUGAUUUUAAAAAUAAAUAAAACCAAAUAACAACUUGAGUCUAAUGAUUUCCCUUCAGGUUGUGCAAGCAGGAAAGUUUAAAAUCACAUAAGAAUGACUUGAGGGAAAAGAACACCCCUUUCUGCUCCCGGUAAACACAAUCAGCUUUGCUGGUCUGGGUUUUUUAAUGAUCUGCAUUUACAGGAGUAUCCAUGACCCAGAGAGAGUAUCAGUGUCAAGAAUCUGCCAGUGAGAAAGUGAUUUGAAGCAGCUCUGGAGUUCAGAUGGCCACGGGUGCAAGUGCCUGCUCUGGUGUGCUUUGCCUCUGGAAAGAUGCCAAGUCUUUGAGAAUCUUUGCUGCAUCAGCCAUGCUACAUCCUGAGGACUUGGAGAAAAACACCAUAAAUAGGAUUUCUGAUGUCCAUUUUAUAGAUGAAGAAGGAAGGUUUAGCAAGGCCAUUCAAGGAUACACAGCUAGAGGACGAGAUGGAAUUGAAGUCCCUUUGUCAGCAUCCUUUUCAUUCUUGAUGCCAUUUCAUUUCCCCUCCUGGAAAGCCUUCCCACUCCAAGAGAAAAACUAUUAUACAAAUGAUACAACCUGCUAUGGAAAAAAGAGAAAUAACAGAUAAGUAUACAAAGAAAAUACAAGAAAAACAUGAACAGUAAUAAUCUUAUCCAAAUGUUACUGAGAUAUUUUUGGAGUACUUAAUUUCAAUCUUUUUCCUAUAUGCAAACACACACAACUUUUCUCUAACAAAAAUCAGAUCAUACUGUACUAGCAAACACCCUACCUGAAAUCUGUAUAUCCAUUGCCUAUUGAUUAUGCCCAUUGCUUAACAUACUAUGUUUUAUUUAAUCAUUAUUUAAUUGUUGAGUAUGCAAGUUAUUUCUGAGUUUUCACUCAAGCUGUUUACGCUUAUUUCUGUCUGGGUGUGAAUGAAUCUUUGGCACAUUCCUCUAGCAAGUUGAUCAACAUCUGGUCUAAGAUAUUCUUCGGUGUUGGGUUUGUGCUGUCCACAUCAGCUUAGCAAUGUCUGCACAAAGACUCCUUCCCCCUCAAAAGUGCCAUUCAGACUUGCUGUGGGUAUAAGGGGAACAAUCUCAUUGAGGAGAAAGUUGUCAUUGUGGUUGAGAACAUGAACUUUGGAAUUGGAUAGAGCUGUGUGAAUUUGGCCUAAACUCCGAGUCUGCUUCCACAUCUGUAAAAUGUAGACACAAAUAGUUACUCAUAAGGUUCUGGUGGGGAUUAAAUGUGGUUAUACCUGUAAAGUCCUUAGCAUUAUGCCCAGCACAUAGUGAAGAUGUUCGAUAAAUGAUAACUAAACAAACAUUGUGUCCCCUCCCACUACAACCACACUGCUCUCCCUCACCUUACAGACUUUGCUGCUUGACAAUCUUGGGGUGGGGCUGCUGAAAACUGAAUCUCAAUUUAGGAAGCCAUGUUGUCCCAGGAUUAGGGUUAUUGGCCUCACAUAAGAAUCUCCAAAUCUGCAGAAUCUCAGGCCCCACCCAAAAACUAUUCAAUCAGAAACUACAUUUUCAAAAGAUAUCCCAGAUGAUUUGUAUGCAUAGUAAAGUUUGAGAAGGUUUUAGUCCAGGUAUUCAGGAAGUGAUGCUGGUUGUGUAUGGAGGACAGGGGCCCAGGAACUGAUGAAAUCUCUAGUUUGGAAUUCUCGAUAGCAUUUGCAUUCUUUUUUUUUUUUUUUAUCUCAAAUCCAUCACUCAGUAGCAAUGUGAUCUUCACAAAGCUCCCUUUACUUUUACCACCAUAGUGUUGUAGGAGAAGCUCUAUCUUCCAAGUCAGACAGAUCUGGGCUUCAAUUCCAGCUUUGUUAACUGGAGGACUUAUUAUUAGCUGGGAGGACUUGCGACAAAUCAUACCAACUUUCUGAGCCCAGUUUCCUUCCCUGUAAAAUGUAGAUAAUACACCUUUCUUGAGGUGUUACUAGAGAUAACCAAUGAUAAAGUGUUUGGGAAAUCUGGCAUAUCGUAGGGGUACAAUGAGUAAGUGGUUUGACUCCAAAGACCUGAGUUUGGAUCUCAGCUCCACAACUCACUUGGCUGAUUGCUUUCUUUCCCUGGACUCAAGUUUCAUCAUCUGUAAAACUGGCAUUUCAACCAAAUAACUUCUGAAGUCUCUCCCUCCUUUAAAGCUUGAUAUUACAAGGGCAAAUUUUAGUACAAAUAUCCAAAUCCUAACGGUAACUCACAAUUACAAAAGAGCUGAGUCUGUCAUUCACCUGUCAAAUUAUCUAAACUGCGUCUCAGUCAGGAGAUGUGAAAAGAAGGAUGGAUUUUCUAUGAAUGUUUUCUUUUUUUUUUUU